AUACUUACCUGGCAGAGGAGACACCAUGAUCAAGAAGGCGGUUUACCCAGGGCGAGGCUUGUCCAUUGCACUCCGAUCAUGCUGACCCCUGCGAAUUUAUGGUAGUGGGGGAUUGCGUUCGAGCUCUGG
rnacentral:snRNA from 1 species